rnacentral:rRNA from 1 species
AGCAGCCGCGGUAAUUCCAGCUCCAAUAGCGUAUAUUAAAGUUGUUGCAGUUAAAAAGCUCGUAGUUGAAUUUCGGGGUCAGUAGGUUGGUCAUGCCUCCGGUAUGUACUGGUCUCACUGAUUCCUCCUUCCUGAUGAGCCGUAAUGCCAUUAAUUUGGUGUUGCGGGGAGACUGGACUGUUACUUUGAAAAAUUAGAGUGUUUAAAGCAGGCUAACGCUUGAAUACAUUAGCAUGGAAUAAUGAAAUAGGACGUUCGAUCCUAUUUUGUUGGUUUCUAGGAUUGACGUAAUGAUUAAUAGGGAUAGUUGGGGGCAUUAGUAUUCAAUUGUCAGAGGUGAAAUUCUUGGAUUUAUUGAAGACUAACUACUGCGAAAGCAUUUGCCAAGGAUGUUUUCAUUAAUCAAGAACGAAAGUUAGGGGAUCGAAGACGAUCAGAUACCGUCGUAGU